CCUACGGGAGGCUGCAGUGGGGAAUAUUGGACAAUGGGGGCAACCCUGAUCCAGCCAUGCCGCGUGUGUGAAGAAGGCCCUCGGGUUGUAAAGCACUUUCAGUGAGGAAGAACGCCUGGUGGUUAAUACCCAUCAGGAAAGACAUCACUCGCAGAAGAAGCACCGGCUAACUCCGUGCCAGCAGCCGCGGUAAUACGGAGGGUGCGAGCGUUAAUCGGAAUUACUGGGCGUAAAGCGCGCGUAGGUGGCUUGAUAAGCCGGUUGUGAAAGCCCCGGGCUCAACCUGGGAACGGCAUCCGGAACUGUCAAGCUAGAGUGCAGGAGAGGAAGGUAGAAUUCCCGGUGUAGCGGUGAAAUGCGUAGAGAUCGGGAGGAAUACCAGUGGCGAAGGCGGCCUUCUGGACUGACACUGACACUGAGGUGCGAAAGCGUGGGUAGCAAACAGGAUUAGAUACCCCUGUAGUC
rnacentral:rRNA from 1 species